AAAGUAGGAGCUCAGUCUUGGGGGUCUUCUUGACGCUCCAAUGGUCUUUCUUCUCACGUAGAGAGGACUGAACCAUGUGGUGAGGAGUAGCAGGAGGUCUUAGUCUUGGAGGCUUCCAUCAUGCUCCAAGGCGCGGAACAGACUAACCUCGUGAGUGUGGCAGGACAGGGGAGCCCAGGGCGGUGGAGCCUAAGGCGGUAGAGCCUAAGUAUCACAAGCCACCACAGGUGCAUGACCCGCCAUAGCUCGACUAUCAUUCUAAAGUCCGGACGAGUCAAGUCUAGUAUUUAACAUGAUAGGAUGAAUGUUUUAUCUUGUUUGCUUUAAAUUAAUAUCUUGUUUGUACAUGCUCUUAAUUGUAUGCUUUUUAUAUAAUUAGCUCAC
rnacentral:lncRNA from 1 species